rnacentral:rRNA from 1 species
UUUAAUUCGAAGCAACGCGAGGAACCUUACCAAAUCUUGACAUCCUCUGAACCCUCUAGAGAUAGAGUUUUCCCCUUCGGGGGACAGAGUGACAGGUGGUGCAUGGUUGUCGUCAGCUCGUGUCGUGAGAUGUUGGGUUAAGUCCCGCAACGAGCGCAACCCUUAAGCUUAGUUGCCAUCAUUAAGUUGGGCACUCUAAGUUGACUGCCGGUGACAAACCGGAGGAAGGUGGGGAUGACGUCAAAUCAUCAUGCCCCUUAUGAUUUGGGCUACAUACGUGCUACAAUGGACAAUACAAAGGGUAGCGAAACCGCGAGGCCAAGCAAAUCCCAUAAAGUUGUUCUCAGUUCGGAUUGUAGUCUGCAACUCGACUAUAUGAAGCUGGAAUCGCUAGUAAUCGUAGAUCAGCAUGCUA